AUGAUACCCACGUCAUACAUUCCAUUCUGUUGUCCCUCUGUUCCCUAGAGGCUGGAGUGGCCAGGUGUGCAGAAUUCCAGUUCCGAAAAUCCUGUUGCUGACAACCUCAGCUGAGGGAGUCAUGGGGUGUCAAACCUGGGCUUCAAAGCUUUGAAAUUUUAUGAAACAAAACAAACAUGUAGGCAUUCUUUGCAACUUUGAGUGUUGUCUUGAAAGAUAAACUUUCAUCAUCCCUGUGCCUGUUAUUAAUGGGUCUCUCUAUCUCCCUCAAGGUGAGAAAUGACCGUCUCCAUCAAUCGUCGCUUUUCCUGGAUCUCCUCAUAGACAGGGCUUGGUCCGACGAAAGUUCCUGGGAAUCGGAGUUCCUGUCGUGGCACAGCGGA
rnacentral:lncRNA from 1 species